UGGCCACCGGACUUAACUCCCAACCCCUGUGACAUACCACUUGUUGCCUCGGCGGAUCAGCCCGCUCCCGGUAAAACGGGACGGCCCGCCAGAGGACCCCUAAACUCUGUUUCUAUAUGUAACUUCUGAGUAAAACCAUAAAUAAAUCAAAACUUUCAACAACGGAUCUCUUGGUUCUGGCAUCGAUGAAGAACGCAGCAAAAUGCGAUAAGUAAUGUGAAUUGCAGAAUUCAGUGAAUCAUCGAAUCUUUGAACGCACAUUGCGCCCGCCAGUAUUCUGGCGGGCAUGCCUGUUCGAGCGUCAUUUCAACCCUCAAGCACAGCUUGGUGUUGGGACUCGCGUUAAUUCGCGUUCCUCAAAUUGAUUGGCGGUCACGUCGAGCUUCCAUAGCGUAGUAGUAAAACCCUCGUUACUGGUAAUCGUCGCGGCCACGCCGUUAAACCCCAACUUCUGAAUGUUGACCUCGGAUCAGGUAGGAAUACCCGCUGAACUUAAGCAUAUCAAUAAGUCGGAGGAA
rnacentral:rRNA from 1 species